CCUACGGGUGACAGCAGUGAGGAAUAUUGGUCAAUGGGCGCGAGCCUGAACCAGCCAAGUCGCGUGAGGGAAGACGGUCCUAUGGAUUGUAAACCUCUUUUGUCGGGGAGCAAAAGACGCCACGCGUGGCGUUCCGAGAGGACCCGAAGAAAAAGCAUCGGCUAACUCCGUGCCAGCAGCCGCGGUAAUACGGAGGCUGCGAGCGUUAUCCGGAUUUAUUGGGUUUAAAGGGGGCGCAGGCGGAAGAUCAAGUCAGCGGUAAAAUUGAGAGGCUCAACCUCUUCGAGCCGUUGAAACUGGUUUUCUUGAUUGCGUGAGAAGUAUGCGGACUGCGUGGUGUAGCGGUGAAAUGCAUAGAUCUCACGCAGAACUCCGAUUGCGAAGGCAGCAUACCGGCGCUCAACUGACGCUCAUGCACGAACGUGUGGGUCUCGAACCGGAUUAGAUACCCUGGUAGUC
rnacentral:rRNA from 1 species